AUUGAACGCUGGCGGCAGGCCUAACACAUGCAAGUCGAACGAGUGGCGGACGGGUGAGUAAUGUCUGGGAAACUGCCCGAUGGAGGGGGAUAACUACUGGAAACGGUAGCUAAUACCGCGUACCAUCGGAUGUGCCCAGAUGGGAUUAGCUUGUAGGUGAGGUAACGGCUCACCUAGGCGACGAUCCCUCGCUGGUCUGAGAGGAUGACCAGCCACAUUGGAAGUGAGACACGGUCGAGACUACGAGGGGUGGCAGCAGUGGGGAAUAUGGGACAAGGGGCGGAAGCGUGAUGCAGCCAUGACGCGUGUAUGAAGAAGGCGUUCGGGUUGUAAAGUACUUUCAGCGGGGAGGCGUUACCCGUAGAAGAAGCACAGGCUAACUCCGUGCCAGCAGCCGCGGUAAGAC
rnacentral:rRNA from 1 species